rnacentral:rRNA from 2 species
GUCCCAAGGGUUGGGCUGUUCGCCCAUUAAAGCGGUACGCGAGCUGGGUUCAGAACGUCGUGAGACAGUUCGGUCCCUAUCCGUCGCGGGCGUAGGAAAUUUGAGAGGACCUGUCCUUAGUACGAGAGGACCGGGAUGGACAUACCGCUGGUGUACCAGUUGUUCCGCCAGGAGCACCGCUGGGUAGCUAUGUAUGGACGAGAUAAACGCUGAAAGCAUCUAAGUGUGAAACUCGCCUCGAGAUGAGAUUUCCCAUUUCCUUCGGGAAAGUAAGACCCCUCAGAGAUGAUGAGGUAGAUAGGAUGGAAGUGGAAGUGCCGUGAGGCAUGGAGCGGACCAUUACUAAUCGGUCGAGGACUUAACCAAG